rnacentral:sRNA from 1 species
GCGCUACACUGAUGCAUUCAACGAGCCUAGCCUUGGCCGAGAGGCCCGGGUAAUCUUUGAAACUGCAUCGUGAUGGGGAUAGAUUAUUGCAAUUAUUAAUCUUCAACGAGGAAUGCCUAGUAAGCGCAAGUCAUCAGCUUGCGUUGAUUACGUCCCUGCCCUUUGUACACACCGCCCGUCGCUCCUACCGAUUGGGUGUGCUGGUGAAGUGUUCGGAUUGGCGACCGGGUGCGGUCUCCGCUCUCGGCCGCCGAGAAGUUCAUUAAACCCUCCCACCUAGAGGAAGGAGAAGUCGUAACAAGGUUUCCGUAGGUGAACCUGCGGAAGGAUCAUUGAAUCGAUCGAAUCCACUCUGUGAACCAAACGUCCCCCCUUGGGUGCGGGCUUCGGUCUGCCCCAAGGCGUCGGUUCCCUGGCUGGGGUCUUCGGACCGCAGUUAGGUCCGGCGGGCGCGCCCUCUGGCGUGUCGGCCCUCGUGGCUGCCGCCAGUUGGGUUCGCUGGAAAUUGUAUCCAACUCAACCCACCCCAAACCACAACUUAUACUGAAGCAAUCGGUGAGUGCACUCUGGUGCCUCGCUCUAACCAAAGACAACUCUCAACAACGGAUAUCUUGGCUCCCGUAUCGAUGAAGAACGCAGCGAAAUGCGAUACGUAGUGUGAAUUGCAGAAUUCCGUGAACCAUCGAAUCUUUGAACGCAAAUUGCGCCCAAGGCUUCGGCCGAGGGCAUGUCUGCCUCAGCGUCGGCUUACCCCCUCGCUCCCCCUCUCCUUUGGAGUGGGUGAACGGAUCUGGUUUUCCCGGCUACGUGCUUCUGCACGCCCGGGUUGACUGAAGUGUAGAGGCUUGAGCAUGGACCCCGUUUGUAGGGCAAUGGCUUGGUAGGUAGCUUAGCUACACCGCCUGCCGUGGUCCGAGGGGACUUUGCUGGCGGCCCAGCAGGAAUUCGGGUGUUGGGUUUCCCACCCCGAAAGCUUCAAACCUUCGACCUGAGCUCAGGCAAGACUACCCGCUGAACUUAAGCAUAUCAAUAAGCGGAGGAAAAGAAACUAACUAGGAUGCCCUUAGUAACGGCGAGCGAACCGGGCAAAGCCCAACUUGAAAAUCUCCAGCCUCCGGCUGGCGAAUUGUAGUCUAGAGAAGUGCUCUCUGCCUCAGCCUGUUCCCAAGUCCCCUGGAAAGGGGCGUCAGAGAGGGUGAGAACCCCGUUGGGAUCGGAUCCUGAGGCUCCACGAGACGCUUUCGAAGAGUCGGGUUGUUUGGGAAUGCAGCCCAAAGCAGGUGGUAAAUCC